ensembl:snRNA U6 U6 spliceosomal RNA
GCACUCGCUUCGGCAGCACAUACACUAAAACUGGGACGAUACAGAGAUUGGCAUGGCCCUGUGCAAGGAUGACACGCAAAUUCGUGAAGUGUUUCAUAUUUAA